rnacentral:rRNA from 1 species
AACGAACGCUGGCGGCAUGCCUAACACAUGCAAGUCGAACGAGACCUUCGGGUCUAGUGGCGCACGGGUGCGUAACGCGUGGGAACCUGCCCUUAGGUUCGGAAUAACUCCCCGAAAGGGGUGCUAAUACCGGAUAAUGUCUUCGGACCAAAGAUUUAUCGCCUUUGGAUGGGCCCGCGUUGGAUUAGCUAGUUGGUAGGGUAAAAGCCUACCAAGGCGACGAUCCAUAGCUGGUCUGAGAGGAUGAUCAGCCACACUGGGACUGGGACACGGCCCAGACUCCUGCGGAGGCAGCAGUGGGGAAUAUUGGACAAUGGGCGAAAGCCUGAUCCAGCAAUGCCGCGUGAGUGAUGAAGGCCUUAGGGUUGUAAAGCUCUUUUACCCGGGAUGAUAAUGACAGUACCGGGAGAAUAAGCUCCGGCUAACUCCGUG